GUAGGUGAACCUGCGGAAGGAUCAUUAUUGAUUUUUAAAGGAAGGUGGGCUUGAGUUGUUGCUGGCCUCUAAAAGGGCAUGUGCAUGCUUGGGUUUCGCUUUUUCUUCAAUUAACACCAUGUGCACCUCUUGUAGGUCUUUCGAGACCUAUGUAUUUCUCAUUAAACCCCAAUGUAUGUCUACAGAAUAUUUAUCCUUAUUAUUGCACGGUUGCUUUAUUAAAAGUGAUUGGGCAAGUAAGUUGUUAUACAACUUUCAGCAAUGGAUCUCUUGGCUCCC
rnacentral:misc_RNA from 1 species